rnacentral:SRP_RNA from 1 species
UUGUGCUAGACGGGGAGCUAGCGGUGCCCUGUAACCCGGAAUCCGCUAUACCGGGGUCGAAGUCCCACCCGAGGCCUGAAGCAGUGUGCAGGCUUGGCGCAAGUGGCGUUGAUGGUUGGGUCCCGCACAAUCGAAGAUCGCCGAACCCCGUCAGGACCGGAAGGUAGCAGCGGUAAGCGAACCCUCGGUGUGUUGUGGGGUAGCUCAACCUGAGUUAACUACGUCGAACUGCACUCCCGUGGAUGGUCAGAGGUGGGUGCACUC